rnacentral:misc_RNA from 1 species
UCUCCGUAGGUGAACCUGCGGAGGGAUCACUACAGGCUUGCAAAAGCUCUGAAACCACUGUUUAUCUACCUGAAUCUGCUUCGGCGGGCGGCCCCAGGGCGGGGCCGUAGCCGCAAGGCGCCCGCCGAAGACCCCUAAACUCUGUCGUCCUGAGAAUCUCUGAGUAAUUAUAUUAAACAAAAAACAACUUUCAACAACGGAUCUCUUGGCUCUG